GAGAAAUUUCUGAUCAGAAUUGACUACACUUGGAAGGGAAAUGGACAUUUUGUUAGAUAGUUGAAUUUAUUUGGAAGAUUUUAAUGUAUGGGCAUGGACAAAUGGUCACUCCAUUUGCUUACACAAAAGACCAUGCUCAUAUAGGGUUUAUCAUAAUUUGGUUAGUUUUAGACUCAUUGAACUUCAGAUAACUUUGUCCAGGAAGAAUAAAGACAUAUGCGUCCACAGAAAUAUGGAGCAAGUGAAUAUAUAUCAACUUAUGUCUGAAAUAAUCAGUGAAAAAAAUUAGGCCAUAAAAUUCUACUAAUAUUUUUGAUGACUCUAGUGCAAAAACUAUCUUAUUUGAUUAUAUGAAAAGACAGAUUAAAAACAAUAAACAUUUGUCAUUUUCUGGUGACAAGAUUUUAGAUGUAAAUUAUAAAAAAGUUUUGAAUGUCUUGUCAUUCAGUAGUACCUAGU
rnacentral:lncRNA from 1 species